rnacentral:misc_RNA from 1 species
AGAAAAUUAGCCCAUCCCAUUUUCACGUGCACUUACUAGUCCUACCUACUGGCUACUGUUCUCCCAAAAAAAAAGAAGACAAAUAUAGUAAACAAUAUAUACAAUUUAUAACGACAUGUCCUAGUGGCUGCCUGUCUUUCUCUGGAACAUUUCAAUGUGUCAACAUAAUUUUCGUUUUAAUUAUUUAUCCUUAGUGUUACUAUUAUUUUGCAAGAAUUUUCCUGAUAUGGCGGCUGCUAAGGCUGCUUGAAAACUUGGAUCUUUAGUCAAUGAUGAAGCCAUUUGUUCUAUCAAGAAAUGUUGAAACUCUGGUCUAUUUUGCUGUUGUUGAUCAGUUCCUGGUGAUUUACGCUUCUGACCACUUGCACUACUUGUACUUGUAAUGCUAUGAACUUUUUUGAUAUCAUUUUGUAAUGUUUUUGGUUCUGCCAAAUCAAGAGUUAAGGUUUGUCUUGGCAUUACCGCAGCAGCAUAAGUAUUAUUUUUCGGGUUAAAUCGGCUAGACGGGGAAGUUGUUGUAACAGGGCCUGCGGUAUCCACUUUAGAAUGGUUGUGUUCUCCUUCAUAGGUUGCUACUAGAAUCGAUUGGUCUUCCACGCUUCUUUGAACCUUUUUCUUAACGGGACAGGUAGGAGCAAAAGAGCAUUUGAAAUAAGCUCUUGGAGAUGGAUUGUCUCUUGUUACUUUCUGUCCAUAUUUCCUCCACUGGUAUCCAUCUUUCACUAUAAGAGAAGUAUCAGAUGGUUCAGUUCUCAUAUAAACUCUUGAAGUCUUAGUUUUAAUGUGUUCUUCUCUUGGUUU